AUGGCUGAUACUACAUCUAAUAGUUUUAGGUGUCAACCUGACUACAUUAAGGGAUGCGUAGAAAGCUGGUAACUAUUGAGUCUGGAUGUGUCUGUGAGGGUGUUUCCAGAGAAGACCGGCAUGCAGGUCUGUAGACACAUCUGCCUUCAGUGUGGGAAGAAACCGUCUGAUUUACUGGAGGCCUGACUCUGUUAUUACCACUGGAUGCCACAAUCCUCUUGGAGAGAUAAGGAAAAUUCUGUUUUUUUUCAUAUAACUUCAUUGGAGCUUUUGCUGCUGAAAAAUUUAUGGACAGCAUCUGAAAGGGGACAAAAUAAGUGAGCACUAAAUAUUCUCGGAGAGUUAACACGAAAAUGAGAAAAAGGAAUAAAGACAAGAGCUUGCUAGAAAACUCUGCACCUUUGUAUAAGCUAGAAAACACUGACACCAUUGCAAGGAGAUUGCAACAUAACCACCGCCUCCUCCAGAUCAUUUAUGCACAUGGCCCCAGGGAAGGAUACAGAGUUAACUAAGACCUGGCCUCUGUCCACAAGAAGUUACUGGACUAGCAACAUUUUCAGUCUAUUCACAACCGUGUUCAUUGAUGCUGCCGUGUAUGGGGAAACAGAUGUCAAGUUAUAGAGCAAACAAUUUUCUAAGCUAAAAUAUUUUAUAUUGUUUAAAAACCCCGUCAAAUUGGGUAAUUUGGAUUUUUAUGUGUAAAAGAGAUUACUUUUUAAGAAACUAAAUUGCAUAGUACUUAUUCUUUCAUCAGAUAAAAUACAUUAGAGUUGAAUACUAUAGUUAUUUUAAAGAUGGACAAGAAAGUAGUAUUAUAAAUUGAUAACCAUGAGAGUUUAAUACCUCUUUAGAGAGGUACACAAGAUCUUAUUUUUUGUAUAAUGUCACAGUAAUGAAAACAAGGCAUGUGUCCUACUGCCUCCAACUCUCCCCUGACGCCCUCUUCCCUAAAGCCAAGUGGGGACUAGUCUAAACAGUUCCUAGUACAGUUACUAACAAUUAAUUACAAUGGAUAUUGUCCUCUGUUUGUUCUCCAAGUCGAGCCCAAUCACCUCACUUUAUAAAGAAAGUAUUAAGCUGAGGUUUAGAAAAAUGAAAUCCUUGUCUAGAAAAAGAACAUACGACUGGUUAUAAUAUCCUGAUCUUCCCAUCUAGUUCCCUUCUCAUAAUACUCUUCGGGAAAAUUUUGUGCUGCUAUGCCAAUAACCCACUGCAUUUACUAAUUUUUUUAAUGAAAAUGAGAAGUAGGUUACAGACCAGUUUUUAUUGUAUUAUGUCUGUAGAUCCUGACUGAUUGAAAAGAUUGGGUGCAGAAUGACUGUAUUCUAUGGUGUGCAUUGAAUACCUAUGAAUAAACACAAACACAAAUGCAUA